GACCUGAUUAUAGUACAGUGGUGAGUACGUCAGCGAUUCAUGAUUUGUUGGACUGGAAAUCAUCAUUUUGAGUUGAAGACCCGGGUUCGAUUCUGGGUCAGGUCA